rnacentral:rRNA from 1 species
GUGUUGUGAGCUCGAUGAGUAGGGCGGGACACGUGGUAUCCUGUCUGAAUAUGGGGGGACCAUCCUCCAAGGCUAAAUACUCCUGACUGACCGAUAGUGAACCAGUACCGUGAGGGAAAGGCGAAAAGAACCCCGGCGAGGGGAGUGAAAAAGAACCUGAAACCGUGUACGUACAAGCAGUGGGAGCACCCUUCGGGGUGUGACUGCGUACCUUUUGUAUAAUGGGUCAGCGACUUAUAUUCUGUAGCAAGGUUAACCGAAUAGGGGAGCCGGAGGGAAACCGAGUCUUAAUUGGGCGUUAAGUUGCAGGGUAUAGACCCGAAACCCGGUGAUCUAGCCAUGGGCAGGUUGAAGGUUGGGUAACACUAACUGGAGGACCGAACCGACUAAUGUUGAAAAAUUAGCGGAUGACCUGUGGCUGGGGGUGAAAGGCCAAUCAAACCGGGAGAUAGCUGGUUCUCCCCGAAAGCUAUUUAGGUAGCGCCUCGUGAAUUCAUCUCCGGGGGUAGAGCACUGUUUCGGCUAGGGGGCCAUCCCGGCUUACCAACCCGAUGCAAACUGCGAAUACCGGAGAAUGUUAUCACGGGAGACACACGGCGGGUGCUAACGUCCGUCGUGAAGAGGGAAACAACCCAGACCGCCAGCUAAGGUCCCAAAGUCAUGGUUAAGUGGGAAACGAUGUGGGAAGGCCCAGACAGCCAGGAUGUUGGCUUAGAAGCAGCCAUCAUUUAAAGAAAGCGUAAUAGCUCACUGGUCGAGUCGGCCUGCGCGGAAGAUGUAACGGGGCUAAACCAUGCACCGAAGCUGCGGCAGCGACACUGUGUGUUGUUGGGUAGGGGAGCGUUCUGUAAGCCUGUGAAGGUGUGUCGUGAGGCAUGCUGGAGGUAUCAGAAGUGCGAAUGCUGACAUAAGUAACGAUAAAGCGGGUGAAAAGCCCGCUCGCCGGAAGACCAAGGGUUCCUGUCCAACGUUAAUCGGGGCAGGGUGAGUCGACCCCUAAGGCGAGGCCGAAAGGCGUAGUCGAUGGGAAACGGGUUAAUAUUCCCGUACUUGGUGUUACUGCGAAGGGGGGACGGAGAAGGCUAUGUUGGCCGGGCGACGGUUGUCCCGGUUUAAGCGUGUAGGUGUGUGUUCCAGGUAAAUCCGGUUCACUUUAACACUGAGGCGUGACGACGAGGCACUACGGUGCUGAAGCAACAAAUGCCCUGCUUCCAGGAAAAGCCUCUAAGCAUCAGGUAACAUCAAAUCGUACCCCAAACCGACACAGGUGGUCAGGUAGAGAAUACCAAGGCGCUUGAGAGAACUCGGGUGAAGGAACUAGGCAAAAUGGUGCCGUAACUUCGGGAGAAGGCACGCUGACACGUAGGUGAAGUGAUUUACUCAUGGAGCUGAAGUCAGUCGAAGAUACCAGCUGGCUGCAACUGUUUAUUAAAAACACAGCACUGUGCAAACACGAAAGUGGACGUAUACGGUGUGACGCCUGCCCGGUGCCGGAAGGUUAAUUGAUGGGGUCAGCGCAAGCGAAGCUCCUGAUCGAAGCCCCGGUAAACGGCGGCCGUAACUAUAACGGUCCUAAGGUAGCGAAAUUCCUUGUCGGGUAAGUUCCGACCUGCACGAAUGGCGUAAUGAUGGCCAGGCUGUCUCCACCCGAGACUCAGUGAAAUUGAACUCGCUGUGAAGAUGCAGUGUACCCGCGGCAAGACGGAAAGACCCCGUGAACCUUUACUAUAGCUUGACACUGAACAUUGAGCCUUGAUGUGUAGGAUAGGUGGGAGGCUUUGAAGCGUGGACGCCAGUCUGCGUGGAGCCG